AUUAGGUAGUUGGUGGGGUAACGGCCUACCAAGCCUACGAUCCGUAGCUGAUCUGAGAGGAUGAUCAGCCACACUGGGACUGAGAGACGGCCCAGACUCCUACGGGAGGCAGCAGUGGGGAAUCUUGGACAAUGGGCGCAAGCCUGAUCCAGCCAUGCCGCGUGUGUGAAGAAGGCCUUAGGGUUGUAAACGGCAAACUUCGUGCCAGCAGCCGCGGUAAUACGAAGGGGGCUGGCGUUGUUCGGAAUUACUGGGCGUAAAGCGCACGUAGGCGGGGCUUUAAGUCAGGGGUGAAAUCCCGGAGCUCACCUCCGGAACUGCCUUUGAUACUGACGAUCUAGAGAUCGUAAGAGGUGAGUGGAAUUCCGAGUGUAGAGGUGAAAUUCGUAGAUAUUCGGAAGAACACCAGUGGCGAAGGCGGCUCACUGGCUCGAUACUGACGCUGAGGUGCGAAAGCGUGCGUAGCAAACAGGAUUAGAUACCCUGGUAGUCCACGCCGUAAACUAUGGGUGCUAGCCGUCAGGGGCUUGCUCUUUGUUGGCGCAGCUAACGCAUUAAGCACCCCGCCUG
rnacentral:rRNA from 1 species